rnacentral:rRNA from 1 species
UACGAAGGGUGCAAACGUUGCUCGGAAUUAUUGGGCGUAAAGCGCACGUAGGCGGCUUGGCAAGUCGGAUGUGAAAUCCCUCGGCUCAACCAAGGAAGUGCAUCCGAAACUGCCGAGCUUGAGUACUUAAGAGGAUCGCGGAAUUCCCGGUGUAGAGGUGAAAUUCGUAGAUAUCGGGAGGAACACCAGUGGCGAAGGCGGCUCUCUGGACAGGUACUGACGCUGAGACGCGAAAGCGUGGGUAGCAAACAGG